rnacentral:rRNA from 1 species
AUCAUUCACAAUGGGGGAAACCCAGAUGGUGCGACGCCGCGUGGGGGAAUGAAGGUCUUCGGAUUGUAAACCCCAGUCAUGUGGGAGCAAAUUAAAAAGAUAGUACCACAAGAGGAAGAGACGGCUAACUCUGUGCCAGCAGCCGCGGUAAUACAGAGGUCUCAAGCGUUGUUCGGAAUCACUGGGCGUAAAGCGUGCGUAGGCGGUUUCGUAAGUUGUGUGUGAAAGGCGGGGGCUCAACCCCCGGACUGCACAUGAUACUGCGAGACUAGAGUAAUGGAGGGGGAACCGGAAUUCUCGGUGUAGCAGUGAAAUGCGUAGAUAUCGAGAGGAACACUCGUGGCGAAGGCGGGCUCCUGGACAUUAACUGACGCUGAGGCACGAAGGCCAGGGGAGCGAAAGGGAUUAGAUACCCCUGUAGUCCUGGCAGUAAACGGUGCACGCUUGGUGUGCGGGGAAUCGACCCCCUGCGUGCCGGAGCUAACGCGUUAAGCGUGCCGCCUGGGGAGUACGGUCGCAAGAUUAAAACUCAAAGAAAUUGACGGGGACCCGCACAAGCGGUGGAGUAUGUGGCUUAAUUCGAUGCAACGCGAAGAACCUUACCUGGGCUUGACAUGUAAUGAACAACAUGUGAAAGCAUGCGACUCUUCGGAGGCGUUACACAGGUGCUGCAUGGCCGUCGUCAGCUCGUGUCGUGAGAUGUUUGGUUAAGUCCAGCAACGAGCGCAACCCCUGUUGCCAGUUACCAGCACGUAAAGGUGGGGACUCUGGCGAGACUGCCCAGAUCAACUGGGAGGAAGGUGGGGACGACGUCAGGUCAGUAUGGCCCUUAUACCCAGGGCUGCACACGUACUACAAUGCCCAGUACAGAGGGGGCCGAAGCCGCGAGGCGGAGGAAAUCCUAAAAACUGGGCCCAGUUCGGACUGUAGGCUGCAACCCGCCUACACGAAGCCGGAAUCGCUAGUAAUGGCGCAUCAGCUACGGCGCCGUGAAUACGUUCCCGGGUCUUGCACU